rnacentral:rRNA from 1 species
CCUACGGGUGGCAGCAGUCGAGAAUCAUUCACAAUGGGGGAAACCCUGAUGGUGCGACGCCGCGUGGGGGAAUGAAGGUCUUCGGAUUGUAAACCCCUGUCAUGUGGGAGCAAAUUAAAAAGAUAGUACCACAAGAGGAAGAGACGGCUAACUCUGUGCCAGCAGCCGCGGUAAUACAGAGGUCUCAAGCGUUGUUCGGCAUCACUGGGCGUAAAGCGUGCGUAGGCUGUUUCGUAAGUCGUGUGUGAAAGGCGCGGGCUCAACCCGCGGACGGCACAUGAUACUGCGAGACGAGAGUAAGGGAGGGGGAACCGGAAUUCUCGGUGUAGCAGUGAAAUGCGUAGAUAUCGAGAGGAACACUCGUGGCGAAGGCGGGUUCCUGGACAUUAACUGACGCUGAGGCACGAAGGCCAGGGGAGCGAAAGGGAUUAGAUACCCUUGUAGUC